rnacentral:rRNA from 1 species
CAGUAGCCACGGUAAUACAGAGGUCCCGAGCGUUGUUCGGAUUCACUGGGCGUAAAGGGUGUGUAAGAGGUUGGAUAAGUCAGGUGUGAAAUCCCGCAGCUCAACUGCGGAACUGCAUUCGAUACUGUUCAACUAGAGGAUCGGAGGGGGAAGCGGAAUUCUUGGUGUAGCGGUGAAAUGCGUAGAUAUCAAGAGGAACACCGGUGGCGAAGGCGGCUUCCUGGAAGAUACCUGACUCUGAAACACGAAAGCCAGGGGAGCGAAUGGGAUUAGAUACCCCUGUAGUCCCUGUCUCUUAUAC